AGAGACAGCAGUAGCCGCGGGAAUACAGAGGGUGCGAGCGUUAAUCGGAUUUACUGGGCGUAAAGCGUGCGUAGGCGGCUUCUUAAGUCGGAUGUGAAAUCCCUUAGCUUAACUUAGGAAUUGCAUUCGAUACUGGGAAGCUAGAGUAUGGGAGAGGAUGGUAGAAUUCCAGGUGUAGCGGUGAAAUGCGUAGAGAUCUGGAGGAAUACCGAUGGCGAAGGCAGCCAUCUGGCCUAAUACUGACGCUGAGGUACGAAAGCAUGGGGAGCAAACAGGAUUAGAUACCCCUGUAGUCCCUGUCUCUUAUAC
rnacentral:rRNA from 1 species